rnacentral:rRNA from 1 species
AGUCACUGACAUUAGAUACCCGUGUAGUCCCAGCCGUAAACUAUGCGCGUUAGGUGUAUCGGUGACCACGAGUUACCGAGGUGCCGAAGGGAACCGUGAAACGUGCCGCCGUGGGAAGUACGGUCGCAAGGCUGAAACUUAAAGGAAUUGGCGGGGGAGCACCGCAACGGGAGGAGCGUGCGGUUUAAUUGGAUUCAACACCGUAAAACUCACCAGGGAAGACUGUUACAUGAAGGCCGAGAUGAAGACUCUGCUAGAUUUUCAG